rnacentral:misc_RNA from 1 species
AAAAAAAUAAUUUUUACGAAAAUAGCAAUCACAAACUUUAAAUUUCAUUAAAAAAAUGAUAAUAUCUGAAAAUCAUUAAGUAGGAUGGAAUCUAAUUGAAUUGGAAAAUCUAAAAGAGAAGUCUUGCAACUUGUGGAAAAUAAUGUCAUUUGCUUAUGAAUAUAGAUGGGAGACUUUGUGAUAGAAAGUGAUAGUAUUGAUUAAUUAAUUAAUUUCAAAUUGACUUAUGACUUGAGAGUUAAAACCAAAUAACACGGUUCAUAUAUAAUUCAUAAUUAUUUCAUGUAAAUUUUUUAAAAAAUAUA